GGGGUACACGAGUGGCGAACGGGUGAGUAACACGUGGGUGACCUGCCCCGCACUUCGGGAUAAGCCUGGGAAACUGGGUCUAAUACCGGAUAGGACCGCACCGUGAGGGUGUGGUGGAAAGUUUUUCGGUGUGGGAUGGGCCCGCGGCCUAUCAGCUUGUUGGUGGGGUAAUGGCCUACCAAGGCGGCGACGGGUAGCCGGCCUGAGAGGGUGGACGGCCACAUUGGGACUGAGACACGGCCCAGACUCCUACGGGAGGCAGCAGUGGGGAAUAUUGCACAAUGGGCGGAAGCCUGAUGCAGCGACGCCGCGUGGGGGAUGACGGCCUUCGGGUUGUAAACUCCUUUCACCAUCGACGAAGGUUUUCUGACGGUAGAUGGAGAAGAAGCACCGGCUAACUACGUGCCAGCAGCCGCGGUAAUACGUAGGGUGCGAGCGUUGUCCGGAAUUACUGGGCGUAAAGAGCUCGUAGGUGGUUUGUCGCGUCGUCUGUGAAAUUCCGGGGCUUAACUCCGGGCGUGCAGGCGAUACGGGCAUAACUUGAGUACUGUAGGGGAGACUGGAAUUCCUGGUGUAGCGGUGAAAUGCGCAGAUAUCAGGAGGAACACCGGUGGCGAAGGCGGGUCUCUGGGCAGUAA
rnacentral:rRNA from 1 species